rnacentral:lncRNA from 1 species
UUGUGAGUCUGUCUGCUCACCUGUGGGAGCCAGAGGAGGGCAUCAGGUCCCCUGGCAUUGCAAUCACAGAUAUUUGAGAGUCACUUGAUCUAGAAGUAGGGUUAUUUGCUAGGUCUCUCCAGCAAACACUCCAUUUUAAAAAAUACUUAAAAUUUCUAUUUUUUUUAAGCUCACAUUUUAAGGAUGUAUGUCUAACACUCACACAUUUAGGUAUUAGUUGGAACAAUGAUGUUUUUAUUUCUAAAACAUUUUCUUUUGUUCAAUGUUUUUUCUUCUCAGAAUUUCUGAAAAAAAAUGUGCCCCCCUUCUUUUUCAGUGAUGGUUGUAUUGCUUUAAGGACAAAUGCCUGACUAACACUUGAGAGGCAGUGAAAUCUCUUAAAUGUGUACUUGGCCAUUCAAGGAGGUGGCCCCUCUGUGUAGCAGCCUUGUGCGUGCACCAGCCAAAUUUUAGCUAACUGGCUUUUUAAUUCUUCCUUUCAGAAAAAAUUACCGAGUUGCUAUCUUCAGGUUCAGUGAAUGCAAACACUCCACUGGUCCUUGUGAAUGCCAUCUACUUCAAAGGGAACUGGAAGAAGCAGUUUAACAAAGAGGACACUCAAGAAAUGCCUUUCAAAGUCACCAAGAAUGAGGAGAAACCUGUGAAAAUGAUGUUUAAGAAAUCUACCUUUAAGAUGACCUAUGUGGAAGAGAUAUCCACUACUAUUCUGUUGCUUCCCUAUGUUGGCAAUGAACUG